rnacentral:rRNA from 1 species
UCGGGAAUUUUGGGCAAUGGGCGAAAGCCUGACCCAGCAACGCCGCGUGAGGGAUGAAGUAUUUCGGUAUGUAAACCUCGAAAGAAUGGGAAGAAUAAAUGACGGUACCAUUUAUAAGCUCCGGCUAACUACGUGCCAGCAGCCGCGGUAAUACGUAGGGAGCAAGCGUUGGUCGGAUUUACUGGGCGUAAAGGGCGCGUAGGCGGCGCGGUAAGUCACUUGUGAAAUCUCUGAGCUUAACUCAGAACGGCCAAGUGAUACUGCUGUGCUAGAGUGCGGCAGAGGCAACCGGAAUUCUUGGUGUAGCGGUGAAAUGCGUAGAUAUCAAGAGGAACACCUGAGGCGAAGGCGGGUUGCUGGGCCGACAAUGACGCUGAUGCGCGAAAGCCAGGGGAGCAAACG